rnacentral:lncRNA from 1 species
UUUAAGGUUAAUGAUUACCCAGGGUCUGUCAUCCCCUCCUCAUCUGUCCCACCUUUGUGAGCUUCCCUAUUCCCACUCAUCAGGACAAAAAGAGAAGAACCAGCUGUGAAAAGAGAGACGCCUCCCCUCUCCACAUCAUUCAUCCCAAAUGAAGAAGAGGCUAUCAUGUGACCAUUUUGCUGAUGAAGACACUGAAACUCCGAGAUUAAGUAACUUUUGCAGACUCCCAGCCACGAACUGUCUCAAUUAGGAUUUGAUCUCAGAUCAACGCCCAGUGACCUAGCCCAGUUGUUAUGCUCUCCCAAGGCCUAGAUCUACAUACAUUUCCUGGGAAAAUACUCUGUAAUAGACAGCCAGCUCCAACUGAGGGAAAGAUGCUCCAUGAGUAGCACCUUCCUUAAAUGGACAGUGACCCCAAAGGGGCUCCCAGAGUCUUGGCAAUGAUGGGAAUCUGAAUGAAGAAAUGGCAUCCCUGACUGUGCGGCCUUCAAGAACACGGACAAUGUCUGUGGGGAUCGGGCUCCUUGGGGCAGCACCGGGGGACAGGGGCCUGUUGUCCUGACAGAUGCAGUCCCGGGAGCCUGGCCAGGGGCCAGCGGCAUUCUUGGCAGAGGGAAUUGUAAGCAUCAAGCGAGCAUUCUGAAUCCCCAGCAUAGCCUUACUAUGGAGCCGAAUUACACUGGGUAGGGAAUGGACAGCCACCUCUUCUGUCCCGGCAACGCACACAAACUCACAAGCCUGACACAGUCGCCAUUGUCCUGAGAGGCCCUCCUGCUUCUGAGGCUCCUUCUAUGUGUCUGUGUGUGGGAGUGUGCCCACAGGGGUUUUGUUCUGUCUGUGAGUACGGGUGUGUGUCUGUGUGUGUCUAUGAAUGUGUGACUCUGGGGGAUUGGCUGUGUGUGUGUCUCUGUGAGUGUGUGUGUUUGUGGGUGGGUGUGCUGUGUGUCUGGUGUAUGAGUGUGUGGGUCGUGAAUGUCAGUAAGUGUGUGUCUGUGUCUGUGAGGGUGUCCCUGAGUGUGUGUAUCUCUCUAAGCGUCACAUAUAUGACUAUAUAUGUGUCUAUGAGUGUGUGUGUAUAAGUGGGUCUGUGAAUGCGUCUGUAUUUGAGUGUAGAUGACUAUGUUUCUGUGUGUGUGUGUCUGAGUGUCGAUGAAUGUGUCUAUGAUUGUGUGUUACUGUGUAUCUGUUAGCACGUUUGUGGGUGUCUGUGUAUCAGUUUGUAUCUGUGAAUGUACAUUCGCAUGUGAAUGUGUGUGACUAUGUUUCUCUGUGUGUGUGUCUGAGUGUCCAUGAAUGUGUCUGUCUAUGAUUGUGUGUUACUGUGUAUCUGUUAGCACAUUUGUGGGUGUCUGUGUAUCAGUCUGUGUCUGUGAAUGUGCGUUCGCAUGAGUGUGUGUGACUAUGUUUCUGUGUCUGCGUAUGAGUGAAUGUGAGUGUGUGUGUGUGUGUGUGUGUGUGUAUGUGUGUGAGCGUGCUUUUCUGUGAGUGUGUAUGUGUGUAUAUAUCUAUGGGUAGGCAUGUCUACAUACGUCUGGCUGUGAGUAUAUGCCUGUAUAUAAGUAUGUGUGUACAAGUACAUGUUGGUGAGUGUGUCUCUAUGAGUAUGUGUAUGACUCUGCAUAUGUGUGAGUUUGUGUGUGUCUGUGUCUGUACAUUGGUCUGUGUGCACUUCACCCCAUACCCGGAGCCUCUGCCUUUGACUGAUUCCGUUACUCGCCAAGAAGCAGCCUUAGGUUUUCUCUGCAUGGCAUCCGUGGGUCAGGGUAAAUCUCGGCCCAUCUGUGAGCACAUCAGUGAACGAGCUCCUUUAGUGCCAGGGGCUGCAGAAGGCCUCCUUCUUCCGUGUCCACCACCCCCACCACAUCCAUUCCACAGUCAAACCUCUUUCCUCCUCCCCUCCAAUACUCUCAUGACCAGCCCUGUCGGAUGCUCCCAUAAUUCCCUGCUUCAGAUGGCUCUUCUUGACUUCUUGCCCCGACUAUGGCUAUUCUAAUGCAUCUCCCUGCCUCAGUAUAGCCCUUCCUCCGCACACCAAUGAAGUCAUUCCCUACUCAAUAAAGUGCGGGAGCAAGCUCCCUGUUAACUCUAGGAUGGAACACUAAUUCCUCUGCUAGAUCCUCAAGUGUCCUUCACAACCUGGCCCCAACAUCUCUCUCCUGCUUCAUUACACGUCAUUCCUCUUUUAGCAAACCAAACCAGGACGUGUUAGUAAAUGUUUAAUGACCAGCUCUCAACCAAGUGUGGAAAGAGGGGAAGGGCAAAAUGUACAACAUCACAGGUUUAAUCUGUAUUACUUACAUUUUCUCCAUCACUUUCUUAAGCCAAGGCAAUAAAAAUGAACAGUUUUUGCCAGUUUCCAAAGGAUAAACAUCCAUAGUGAAAUUUUAACAUCGGUUCUUGUGAAUAAGAUUAGAUCUAACACAUCGCUGAGCUACAACCCUAUUCUUAUUCUUUACACAUAAUAUUUCAUUUCCCAUCUCCAUAUCUUUGCACGAUUGUCCUCAAUUCCUAGAACAUGUUCUUUUCUCACUUAUGUAUUUUUUAAUCUCUGGCUUCCUUGAAGACUCACCUUAAAUACUCCCAUUUACAACGUUCUCCUCUUAUUCCCCCAGCUUCUAUUGCCUUUCCCUUGAAUAGGUUUCUUCCACUCAAGCGUAAGCUAUCUGAAGGAAGGCACUAUUUUUGUAUCCCUAGCACUUAGGCCGGGGCCUGGACCACAGUAGGCACUUAAUGCUCGUGGAUUAAUUGUUAUAUUGAGCAAAGAGAAUUUAUGCUCUGAGCCCAGAAGAGUGAUUCAAAGUCAUCUUCCUCAUACUUUAGCUUAGAAGGAUC